AUUGAACGCUGGCGGCAUGCCUUACACAUGCAAGUCGAACGGUAACAGGUCUUCGGAUGCUGACGAGUGGCGAACGGGUGAGUAAUACAUCGGAACGUGCCUAGUAGUGGGGGAUAACUACUCGAAAGAGUGGCUAAUACCGCAUGAGAUCUACGGAUGAAAGCAGGGGAUCGCAAGACCUUGUGCUACUAGAGCGGCCGAUGGCAGAUUAGGUAGUUGGUGGGAUAAAAGCUUACCAAGCCGACGAUCUGUAGCUGGUCUGAGAGGACGAUCAGCCACACCGGGACUGAGACACGGCCCAGACUCCUACGGGAGGCAGCAGUGGGGAAUUUUGGACAAUGGGCACAAGCCUGAUCCAGCAAUGCCGCGUGCAGGAUGAAGGCCUUCGGGUUGUAAACUGCUUUUGUACGGAACGAAAAGCCCUGGGUUAAUACCCUGGGGUCAUGACGGUACCGUAAGAAUAAGCACCGGCUAACUACGUGCCAGCCGCCGCGGUAAGAC
rnacentral:rRNA from 1 species